CAGUCGCCACGGGAAUACGAAGGGGGCUAGCGUUGUUCGGAUUUACUGGGCGUAAAGGGUGCGUAGGCGGAUUGUUAAGUCAGGGGUGAAAUCCCGAGGCUCAACCUCGGAACUGCCUUUGAUACUGGCGAUCUUGAGUCCGGGAGAGGUGAGUGGAACUGCGAGUGUAGCGGUGAAAUGCGUAGAGAUGUGGAGGAACACCAGUGGCGAAGGCGACUCUCUGGUCUGUAACUGACGCUGAGGAGCGAAAGCGUGGGGAGCGAACAGGAUUAGAUACCCGCGUAGUCCCGGUCUCUUAUAC
rnacentral:rRNA from 1 species